UAUAAGCUGAAUCAUUUCCUGACCCAACAAAUUAUGUGGAUGCAUGGAUUUUACUGGUACUAACAUUCCAGAAAAAGCUGGAAUGUGAAACUGAGGAAAAGAAGUUAAACAAGGAAACAUUUUUUCAGCCAUUCUUCAGGAUAUAAACAUAACCUUCUCCAAUCAAUCUUGCUGCAAUUUCCACACCAGCUUGAAAACUGAACUUGCCUAUAGCAAUCAAUCAGCUGCAUUUCCUAUGCAGUUCCACCAAAGGCAUCACUCCUCUAAAUGUCAGGCUUCCGUUGCUUCACUGCCAUAUGGAUCAUGACUAAUGGAUGCUGGACCCUGCUCUACAGACAUGCUUCUCUGUAUGUUUUUUCUGGAAUUCCAUCUACUCGGGGAAGUCCUCAUCCCACUUGGAAGUUAAGAUCAAGGAAAAUACAGGUACGUCUGAGUAGUAUUAUGAGCAUGAGUUGCUCUGAUCUCCGAAGGCAUUGCUCACAGGCUAGUCCAGUCCCGGACCGACACCACUGAAAGCACAUCUGAUAGCUUUAUCUGCAGAAGCAGCCUAGGAAGGGGAAGUCAUGCAAGCUUUUUUCCUGACAACCUGCCAGUGGAUCUCCACGCAGCCACAGAGGAACCAUUUCUAGGCAUCAACAGUUGUGCUGUUCUCCAGUAUCCAGGAAGUGGCACAAAGCAUGGUUUUGCCAAGUCACGGUAUCCUCACAUCGUGUGAGUGGAAGAGUUUCCUGGGGAGAAGG